GGCGAGAUGGCCGAGCGGUCUAAGGCGCUAGACUAAGGAUCUACUUCAUUUGCUGGAGUCUGUAAUAUCUAGUCCUUCGGGGCGUGGGUUCGAAUCCCACUCUCGUCA